UACGGGGGGGGCAAGCGUUGUUCGGAAUUACUGGGCGUAAAGGGCGCGUAGGCGGCCAUCUAAGUCAGACGUGAAUCCCUCGGCUACAACCGAGGAACUGCGUCUGAUACUGGAAGGCUUGAAUCCGGGAGAGGGAUGUGGAAUUCCAGGUGUAGCGGUGAAAUGACGUAGAUAUCGGGAGGAACACCAGUGGCGAAGGCGACUGACCUGGCCUGUUCUUGACGCUGAGGCGCGAAAGCUAGGGGAGCAAACGGGG
rnacentral:rRNA from 1 species